rnacentral:rRNA from 1 species
UUAAGUUAGUAAGGGCGCACGGUGGAUGCCUUGGCACUAGGAGCCGAAGAAGGACGUGACAAACGACGAAAUGCCUCGGGGAGCUGUAAGUAAGCGACGAUCCGUGGAUGUCCGAAUGGGGGAACCCAACAGGUAGAUGCCUGUUACCCAUUUCUGUUAAGGGAAUGAGGAGGAAGACGCAGUGAACUGAAACAUCUAAGUAGCUGCAGGAAGAGAAAGCAAAAGCGAUUGCCUUAGUAGCGGCGAGCGAAGAGGCAGGAGGGCAAACCGAAGAGUUUACUCUUCGGGGUUGUAGGACUGCAAUGUGGACUCAGAGUUUAUAGAAGAAUGACUUGGGAAAGUCAGCCAAAGAGAGUAAGAGCCUCGUAUUUUAAAUAGACUCUGUACCUAGCAGUAUCCUGAGUACGGCGGGACACGAGAAAUCCCGUCGGAAUCUGGGAGGACCAUCUCCCAACCCUAAAUACUCCCUAGUGACCGAUAGUGAACCAGUACCGUGAGGGAAAGGUGAAAAGCACCCCGGGAGGGGAGUGAAAUAGAACCUGAAACCGUGUGCCUACAACAAGUUCGAGCCCGUUAAUGGGUGAGAGCGUGCCUUUUGUAGAAUGAACCGGCGAGUUACGUUAUGAUGCGAGGUUAAGUUGAAGAGACGGAGCCGUAGGGAAACCGAGUCUGAAUAGGGCGCAAUAGUAUCAUGACGUAGACCCGAAACCAUGUGACCUACCCAUGAGCAGGUUGAAGGUGCGGUAAAACGCACUGGAGGACCGAACCAGGGCACGUUGAAAAGUGCUUGGAUGACUUGUGGGUAGCGGAGAAAUUCCAAACGAACUUGGAGAUAGCUGGUUCUCUCCGAAAUAGCUUUAGGGCUAGCGUCGACAUAAAGAUUCUUGGAGGUAGAGCACUGUUUGGGUGAGGGGUCCAUCCCGGAUUACCAAUCUCAGAUAAACUCCGAAUGCCAAUGAAUUAUGGUCGGCAGUCAGACUGCGAGUGCUAAGAUCCGUAGUCGAAAGGGAAACAGCCCAGACCACCAGCUAAGGUCCAAAAUAAUUGUUAAGUGGAAAAGGAUGUGGGGUUGCACAGACAACUAGGAUGUUAGCUUAGAAGCAGCUAUUCAUUCAAAGAGUGCGUAAUAGCUACUAGUCGAGUGACCCUGCGCCGAAAAUGUACCGGGGCUAAACAAUUUACCGAAGCUGUGGAUCCCUUAGGGGAUGGUAGGAGAGCGUUCUAUGUGUGGAGAAGGUGUACCGUGAGGAGCGCUGGAACGCAUAGAAGUGAGAAUGCCGUAUGAGUAGCGAAAGACAGGUAGAAUCCUGUCCACCGUAAGACUAAGGUUUCCAGGGGAAGGGCUCGUCCGCCCUGGGUUAGUCGGGACCUAGGAGAGACCGAAGGGUGUAUCCGAUGGCCAACAGGUUGAUAUUCCUGUACUAGAGUAUGAAGUGAUGGAGGGACGCAGUAGGCUAACUAAAGCAGACGACUGGAAGAGUCUGUCUAAGCAGUGAGGCGUGGUAUGAGUCAAAUGCUUAUACCUAUAACGUUGAGCUGUGAUGGGGAGCGAAGUUUAGUAGCGAAGUUAGUGAUGUCACACUGCCAAGAAAAGCUUCUAGCGAUGUAUCAUACUCUACCCGUACCGCAAACCGACACAGGUAGUCGAGGCGAGUAGCCUCAGGUGAGCGAGAGAACUCUCGUUAAGGAACUCGGCAAAAUGACCCCGUAACUUCGGGAGAAGGGGUGCUGAUUUAGGUCAGCCGCAGUGAAUAGGCCCAAGCAACUGUUUAUCAAAAACACAGCUCUCUGCUAAAUCGUAAGAUGAUGUAUAGGGGGUGACGCCUGCCCGGUGCUGGAAGGUUAAGAGGAGUGCUUAGCGGUAACGCGAAGGUAUGAAUUGAAGCCCCAGUAAACGGCGGCCGUAACUAUAACGGUCCUAAGGUAGCGAAAUUCCUUGUCGGGUAAGUUCCGACCCGCACGAAAGGCGUAAUGAUUUGGGCACUGUCUCAACGAGAGACUCGGUGAAUUUUAGUACCUGUGAAGAUGCAGGUUACCCGCGACAGGACGGAAAGACCCCAUGGAGCUUUACUGCAGUUUGAUAUUGAGUGUCUGUGCCACAUGUACAGGAUAGGUAGGAGCCUAUGAGAUCGGGACGCCAGUUUCGAUGGAGGCGCUGUUGGGAUACUACCCUUGUGUUAUGGCCACUCUAACCCGGAUAGGUGAUCCCUAUCGGAGACAGUGUCUGACGGGCAGUUUGACUGGGGCGGUCGCCUCCUAAAAGGUAACGGAGGCGCCCAAAGGUUCCCUCAGACUGGUUGGAAAUCAGUCGCAGAGUGUAAAGGUAUAAGGGAGCUUGACUGCGAGAGCUACAACUCGAGCAGGGACGAAAGUCGGGCUUAGUGAUCCGGUGGUUCCGCAUGGAAGGGCCAUCGCUCAACGGAUAAAAGCUACCUGGGGAUAACAGGCUUAUCUCCCCAAGAGUUCACAUCGACGGGGAGGUUUGGCACCUCGAUGUCGGCUCGUCGCAUCCUGGGGCUGUAGUCGGUCCCAA